rnacentral:lncRNA from 1 species
AAUAACAUAGACCCUUAUUUUAUUGUUGUAACAUUAGUGAUGACAUGACAAAUCCGAAUUGAUGACAUAGCGGAUGACAUGGAAAAUCGGUUAGUCAGCCGCCAAACGAAUAUAUAACUCAGCCUAAAUAAAUCAGCCCUCAUGUACAAUGCAAGUCAGCCGAAACGUGGAUACUAUUUCAGUAAUUAAUCUUUCGCUAAUAAAUCAGCUGUAAUUAAGAUGAAAAAUCUUAAGUCAGCCAUAUCGUCAAAUAAAUGAUAUUCUAGUAAUUAAUCUUUCGCUAAUAAGCCAGCCGUAAAAAGCUGAGUUUACUAUUAAUCCAUCCAAUGACGGCUGAUUAAAUAUAACCCAGCCGUAACAACAUCUCAUAAGUCGGCCGUAAAUUCAAUAACUCAGCCAGU